UGAGGAAUAUUGGACAAUGGAGGCAACUCUGAUCCAGCCAUGCCGCGUGUAGGAAGACUGCCCUAUGGGUUGUAAACUACUUUUAUAGAGGAAGAAACCGCUCUACGUGUAGAGCUCUGACGGUACUCUACGAAUAAGGAUCGGCUAACUCCGUGCCAGCAGCCGCGGUAAUACGGAGGAUCCAAGCGUUAUCCGGAAUCAUUGGGUUUAAAGGGUCCGUAGGCGGGUUUAUAAGUCAGUGGUGAAAGUUUGCGGCUCAACCGUAAAAUUGCCAUUGAUACUGUAGAUCUUGAAUUAUUGUGAAGUGGUUAGAAUAUGUAGUGUAGCGGUGAAAUGCAUAGAUAUUACAUAGAAUACCGAUUGCGAAGGCAGAUCACUAACAAUUGAUUGACGCUAAGGGACGAAAGCGUGGGUAGCGAACAGGAUUAGAUACCCCCGUAGUCC
rnacentral:rRNA from 1 species